AGUGAACGCUGGCGGUAGGCCUAACACAUGCAAGUCGAACGGCAGCACAGUAAGAGCUUGCUCCUACGGGUGGCGAGUGGCGGACGGGUGAGGAAUACAUCGGAUUCUACUUUUUCGUGGGGGAUAACGUAGGGCAACAUACGAUACUACCGCAUACGUUCUACGGGUUGAAGCAGGGGUUCUUCGCACCUUGCGUGUUAGUAAGAGACGAUGUCGGAUUAGCUAGUUGGCGAGGUAAAGGCACACCAAGGCGACGAAGCGUAGCUGGUCUGAGAGGAUGAUCAGCCACACUGGAACUGAGACACGGUCCAGACUCCUACGGGAGGCAGCAGUGGGGAAUAUUGGACAAUGGGCGCAAGCCUGAUCCAGCCAUACCGCGUGAGUGAUGAAGGCCUUCGGGUUGUAAAGCCCUGUUGUUAGGGAAGAAAAGCAGCAGGUUAAUACCCCGCUGUUCUGACGGUACCCAAAGAAUAAGCACCGGCUAACUUCGUG
rnacentral:rRNA from 1 species